rnacentral:rRNA from 1 species
AGAGAUGGAUUUCAGGGAAAGUUUUUUUAAAUUUAAUAAUUAAAGUUAUUUUAAUUUGUGAAGAAACAAUUAUAUAAAUUAAGGACAAGAAGACCCUAAGAAUUUAAGAAUUCUUAUGUUACUUAAAUAUAAAAUAGGAAUUCUUAGUUGGGGCAACUAAAAAACAUUAUAAACUUUUUUUCUUUAAAAUGACCCAUUAUUAAUGAUAAUAUGAUUAAAUACUCUAGGG